rnacentral:rRNA from 1 species
AGAAUCAACGCUGGCGGCGUGCCUAAUACAUGCAAGUCGAACGCGAAAGUCCCGCAAGGGAUGAGUAGAGUGGCAAACGGGUGAGUAACGCGUGGGUGACCUGCCUUCGAGUGGGGGAUAACGUUUCGAAAGGAACGCUAAUACCGCAUGACAUCCUGUCUUUUAACAGACGGAGAUCAAAGCCGGGGAUCGCAAGACCUGGCGCUUGAAGAGGGGCCCGCGUCCGAUUAGCUAGUUGGUGGGUAAUGGCUCACCAAGGCAUCGAUCGGUA